CCUACGGGAGGCAGCAGUGAGGAAUAUUGGUCAAUGGUCGGGAGACUGAACCAGCCAAGCCGCGUGAGGGAGGAAGGUACAGAGUAUCGUAAACCUCUUUUGUCAGGGAACAAAGACUGGGACGCGUCCCCGGAUGAGUGUACCUGAAGAAAAAGCAUCGGCUAACCCCGUUCCCGCAGCCGCGGUAAUACGGGGGAUGCGAGCGUUAUCCGGAUUUUUUGGGUUUAAAGGGUGCGCAGGCGGUAGGUUAAGUCAGCGGUAAAAGUCCGGGGCUCAACCCCGGCCCGCCGUUGAAACUGGCAGUCUCGAGUGGGAGAGAAGUAUGCGGAAUGCGCGGUGUAGCGGUGAAAUGCAUAGAUAUCGCGCAGAACUCCGAUUGCGAAGGCAGCAUGCCGGCUCCACACUGACGCUGAGGCACGAAAGCGUGGGUAUCGAACAGGAUUAGAUACCCUUGUAGUC
rnacentral:rRNA from 1 species